rnacentral:rRNA from 1 species
CCUACGGGUGGCAGCAGUGGGGAAUAUUGCACAAUGGGGGAAACCCUGAUGCAGCGACGCCGCGUGAGUGAAGAAGUAUCUCGGUAUGUAAAGCUCUAUCAGCAGGGAAGAAAAUGACGGUACCUGACUCAGAAGCCCCGGCUAAAUACGUGCCAGCAGCCGCGGUAAUACUGAGGGGGCAAGGGUUAUCCGGAUUUACUGGGUGGAAAGGGAGCGUAGACGGCGCUGCAAGUCCGGAGUGAAAGCCUAUGGCUUAACCAAGGUACUGCUGUGGAAACUGUGGAGCUUGAGUGCAGGAGGGGAAGGCGGAAUUCCUAGUGUAGCGGUGAAAUGCGUAGAUAUAAGGAGGAACACCGGCGGCGAAGGCGGCCUGCUGGACCGUAACUGACGUGGAGGCUCGAAAGCGUGGGGAGCAAACAGGAUUAGAUACCCCAGUAGUC